rnacentral:sRNA from 1 species
CGCGCAGCGCGCCUGGACCAGGCUCCGGGAGGAGGAGCCGGGUGGCCCGGGCCCCCAGCCUCGCGCCUGGGGACCACAACACCCCCCUUGAGCCUUGGCCCGGGGCCCUUUUGUCAAGCCCACAACUUCCGCCCGGGAUUCGCCUGAUUCUUUCCUUCUGCUGCUUGCAGAUCCCGUCGGAGACGGUCUCUUCAAGGAAGGGAAGAACCCGAGCUGGGGGCCGCUGAGCCCCGCGGUUCAGAAAGGCAGCGGACAGAUCCAGCUGUGGCAGUUUCUGCUGGAGCUGCUGGCUGACCGCGCGAACGCCGGCUGCAUCGCGUGGGAGGGCGGUCACGGCGAGUUCAAGCUCACGGACCCGGACGAGGUGGCGCGGCGGUGGGGCGAGCGCAAGAGCAAGCCCAACAUGAACUACGACAAGCUGAGCCGCGCCCUGCGCUACUACUACGACAAGAACAUCAUGAGCAAGGUGCAUGGCAAGCGCUACGCCUACCGCUUCGACUUCCAGGGCCUGGCGCAGGCCUGCCAGCCGCCGCCCGCGCACGCC